rnacentral:rRNA from 1 species
AUGAGCUUAUUUAGCCAGGAAUCAAGACGUGAUUUCUGUCUAACACACAACAGCUUGAUUGAGCUAGCUAUCAUGUCUACACCAAAUGUUUUGUCGUGUGACAUGGCAGAGAAAACUGACCAGCUCAUGUAUUCCGCUUCGGCUCCACCUCAAGGUUCAGGGCGGCACUGGCCUUGCAUGGAACGUUGCUGCAAGCUUCGUCAACAUGCUCUCGAGGGCUUGGUCCGCCAUGAUUGUCUCGUUGAACAUCUCCAAUGGCUCCUCUGUUAUCGUGCUGGUGCCCACGCGGAUGGCAUCGACGACGCCACCACGCAUCCCAUCCUCUGCACUUCCUCCAGGGUUUGGGUGUGCUGUGCGGUGUCAAACCCAACAAACCUGUGCACCCUCUCUGCCACGUCGAAUUUUUCUGCUUCUCUCGUCCAUGCAACGCCUCUCUCCUUAGCAGCACUUGGAGUCGAGGUGGUCUUUCGAUCAGUUUCGAAAUUCUGGACUCAAAACAUUGUCGCUCGUGAAGAAAACUAUAGGAAAUAG